AGAGUUUGAUCAUGGCUCAGAACGAACGCUGGCGGCGUGGAUAAGACAUGCAAGUCGGACGGGAUUUUCCGUUGUAGCAAUACGAUGGAAAGUCUAGUGGCGAACGGGUGCUUAACACGUGGGCAACCUGCCAGGAAGUGGGGGAUAGCUCGCCGAAAGGCGAAUUAAUACCGCAUGUGAUUAGAGAGGACAUCCUUUCGAAAUUAAAGUCGGGGCAACCUGACGCUUCUUGUGGGGCCCGCGGCCUAUCAGCUAGUUGGUGAGGUAACGGCUCACCAAGGCUUUGACGGGUAGCUGGUCUGAGAGGACGACCAGCCACACUGGGACUGAGACACGGCCCAGACACCUACGGGUGGCAGCAGUCGAGAAUUUUUGACAAUGGGGGAAACCCUGAUCGAGCGACGCCGCGUGGAGGAUGAAGGUCUUCGGAUUGUAAACUCCUGUCAUUGGGGAACAAGGUGCAUACGUUAACUGCGUGUGCAUUGAUAGUACCCGAAGAGGAAGAGACGGCUAACUCUGUGCCAGCAGCCGCGGUAAUACAGAGGUCUCAAGCGUUGUUCGGAUUCAUUGGGCGUAAAGGGUGCGUAGGCGGCGCGGUAAGUCGGGUGUGAAAUCUCGGAGCUUAACUCCGAAACUGCAUUCGAUACUGCCGUGCUUGAGGACUGGAGAGGAGACUGGAAUUUACGGUGUAGCGGUGAAAUGCGUAGAUAUCGUAAGGAAGACCAGUGGCGAAGGCGGGUCUCUGGACAGUUCCUGACGCUGAGGCACGAAGGUCAGGGGAGCAAACGGGAUUAGAUACCCUAGUAGUCC
rnacentral:rRNA from 1 species